UGCUCCAGUUUCCAGAACCAAUUUGGUCAGA
rnacentral:piRNA from 1 species